UAUUUUUCUGCCACUCAAAUCUACCAACGUAUGGCCAUAGAGGUCUGCAGUGAUCUUAUUCGGUCUCUCUAAUUCUCUCUAAGUUGAUUAAGAAAGUUUCCACUUCGAGUGAUAAGAUUCGAGAAAAGCAGGAACGAACAGAUGGAGCCCAAAAGAGAGCCGGUGCAUGAGCCAUAAACUCCAGCCUACCACUAACUCAACAUCUAGGUUAGAUCGGUUCCCAACGACAGCAAUAUUAUUCCUACCUUUGACUAAUUGUUCAUUUCUUUCCAACAAAUAAGAUGAAUUCAGGGCAACAACAUGGUUAUAAUUCACAAUUCAUGGAAUGAUCUUAUAUAUGUAAACCUAAUAAAAGAAUAAACCAUGAACCUCGUAAUAUAAUAUUAUGUUAAUAUUUAAUUUUUAUUUAAAA
rnacentral:lncRNA from 1 species